rnacentral:rRNA from 1 species
GCAUCGAUGAAGAACGCAGCGAAAUGCGAUAAGUAGUGUGAAUUGCAGAAUUCAGUGAAUCAUCGAAUCUUUGAACGCACAUUGCGCCCCUUGGUAUUCCAUGGGGCAUGCCUGUUCGAGCGUCAUUUGUACCUUCAAGCUCUGCUUGGUGUUGGGUGUUUGUCUCGCCUCUGCGUGUAGACUCGCCUUAAAACAAUUGGCAGCCGGCGUAUUGAUUUCGGAGCGCAGUACAUCUCGCGCUUUGCACUCACAACGACGACGUCCAAAAGUACAUUUUUACACUCUUGACCUCGGAUCAGGUAGGGAUACCCGCUGAACUUAAGCAUAUCAAUAAGCGGAGGAA